UAGCCUACUACUGUCGUGUUGUGAUGAAAAUCAUUAGUUUAACUGUUGAAAGUAAAUCGUUAUUUCUGAGACAUACAACUGGAUUCAAAUAUUUCAAAAUUUUAUUUUAUUAAUCCAUUGUUUGCUUUAUUACAUAUCAACUUUAAAAAAGAAAUGUGGUCAGUGAUAAUAUUACCUUUCAGUUUCAUUAUGUUAAGUUAAAGUAGUGAAAUAGUAAUAAUAAUAUAACUUGUGUAGCGAUAAAGUUGGUAUUGCACUUGUUCAAGUUGUUGAGUAGUUGUGACAUCUUUAUUAUUACCAUUACUGAGGAAGACCGUGAGUAGCAUAAUCCUAGUAGCUUUUAUAACUAGAAAUUACUUUCUUUAAAGUUUCAAGUUUUUAUCAUCACAGAACUUCGAAAUCAAAGAAAAAUAUGUCUACAGCUUCUACAGCGAGUACACCUCAACAGGCAAACUCUUCACCACAAGUUGUGCAAGAAUUUAUUGUGCGUGUGCCACA